AGAUUGAACGCUGGCGGCAGGCCUAACACAUGCAAGUCGAGCGGCAGCACGGGUACUUGUACCUGGUGGCGAGCGGCGGACGGGUGAGUAAUGCCUAGGAAUCUGCCUGGUAGUGGGGGAUAACGCUCGGAAACGGACGCUAAUACCGCAUACGUCCUACGGGAGAAAGCGAGGGGACCUUCGGGCCUUGCGCUAUCAGAUGAGCCUAGGUCGGAUUAGCUAGUUGGUGGGGUAAUGGCUCACCAAGGCGACGAUCCGUAACUGGUCUGAGAGGAUGAUCAGUCACAC
rnacentral:rRNA from 1 species